rnacentral:rRNA from 1 species
CAGUCGCCGCGGUAAUACGUAGGUGGCAAGCGUUGUCCGGAAUUAUUGGGCGUAAAGGGCUCGCAGGCGGUUUCUUAAGUCUGAUGUGAAAGCCCCCGGCUCAACCGGGGAGGGUCAUUGGAAACUGGGAAACUUGAGUGCAGAAGAGGAGAGUGGAAUUCCACGUGUAGCGGUGAAAUGCGUAGAGAUGUGGAGGAACACCAGUGGCGAAGGCGACUCUCUGGUCUGUAACUGACGCUGAGGAGCGAAAGCGUGGGGAGCGAACAGAAUUAGAGACCCCAGUAGUCCCUGUCUCUUAUAC